GACGAACGCUGGCGGCGUGCCUAAUACAUGCAAGUCGAGCGGAACUGGGGGAGCUUGCUCCUUCCAGUUUAGCGGCGGACGGGUGAGUAACACGUGGGCAACCUGCCCUGCAGAUCGGGAUAACUCCGGGAAACCGGUGCUAAUACCGAAUAGUUUGGCGCCUCUCCUGAGGCGCUACGGAAAGACGGUUUCGGCUGUCACUGCAGGAUGGGCCCGCGGCGCAUUAGCUAGUUGGUGGGGUAACGGCCCACCAAGGCGACGAUGCGUAGCCGACCUGGGAGGGUGACCGGGCACACUGGGACUGAGACACGGCCCAGACUCCUACGGGAGGCAGCAGUAGGGAAUCUUCUGCAAUGGACGCAAGUCUGACGGAGCAACGCCGCGUGAGUGACGAAGGUUUUCGGAUCGUAAAACUCUGUUGUGAGGGAAGAACACGUACCAACUAACUAUUGGUACCUUGACGGUACCUCACCAGAAAGCCACGGCUAACUACGUGCCAGCAGCCGCGGUAA
rnacentral:rRNA from 1 species